CAAUCAUCUACUGUGAAUAUAGACAUGCUAGAUAGUAUAUAUAUUUUUUAGCAGGUAGUAAACAACAAACUCAAUCUCCUAAACCCACUAAACUACCAAAUAAGUAAUAAUAAAUACCAACAAAGGUGAUACUUAGACAAACAACAUAGACUAGUGGGACUAUAUAUGAUAACUAUAACAGUAUUGAUGCCAACCUCUGUUGUAGUGAUACCUCUGACCUGUACGCAGAUUUUGGUGUAGUUCCCCUUUAAGUGUUUCAGCGGCGAUAGGUGGGAGAGAGGGCGGGACUUCGGCCGUUAGUGGCGCGAGUUACAGAAAAUGACGCCGGGGUGGGUGAGGGACCCCGGUGGUGAUACAUGACUUAAUUGUUUUUAUUAACUGUGACAAGUCAGAAAUAGUUUAGCAGUAUUAAAAAAACACGACGAUAAAAACCCUCAAAAAUUACCGAGGAAAGCAAAGAAGGAACUGUAUCACCGAGACAACCAACACCUGGCGACGACGACGACGUUGGUACGCUGCGGCUAGCUAAGGUGGCUAACUAGCAUUGGGCUCCCACACGUGAUCACUUUGGUACCGAGUUACAUAACGUGGUUGGACGAGGACAGUGAAGAUUCACCUCUGGUUUCAAAUGUAGGCGCGAUAGAAGCGCCUGGAUGUCCCUGACUGACGCUAUGACUGGCAUUGGCGAUGCCAACUAUGUCAGCUAUUGUACCGCGUUAAUGGACGACAACACACCAGUGUGCAACUGAAAGCACGUGGAGGAAAGUGUGCCAUACAACCAGAACCAAGGAAUCUUCUGACUGGGAGUAACUUUCACCUCAAUUGGUCGUGGUUGGUGGCAGGAGGGGCAAAAGGAGCCAGAGGGCCCAAGGUUCGAGGAGGCAUAUGGGCCAAGGCAUCAGAAAAAAACCUUUCUCUCUGUGUACAUGUGAGUGAUAGUUCCUAUGAGUUUGGUAACUUGGUUAUGGGCGGUUACUGUGUUUGUAGAUUGCUGAUGUGCAAUGGGCAGUUAUGAGAGGAACUGAUAGAAGCCCCCCCCCGUUGCUGCUGUUGAACACUGUUAAUACACUGUGAUGAUAAACUAGAUGUUCAUGGAUGUAGCAGUGGAUGGAGG
rnacentral:lncRNA from 1 species